rnacentral:lncRNA from 12 species
CGUACCUGGACAGCCCGCAGGAGCCCCUGCGAGAGGCGGCCGUCAGGUUCGCGGGUGAGCCCGGGCUCCCUCCCCGCCCCGCCCCGCCGCAGCUCGGCCCCAGCCCCGGCUGCUGCCCCGGCAGCUUCUGCCAUCCGGGCCCGGCGCCGCGGAGCCCCGGCUGCCCUCGGGGCUGCUGCCGCCCUCCCGCAGCCGUGCCCUGGGGCGGCAGCGUGCGGCAAGGGCCCGGGCUGAGCCCUGCCGGGCCACGAGGGCGAGUGGCCGCAGGGCUGGCAGCGCCGCGGGCAGGGAGCUGUGCCGCUGGGCAGAGCCGUGACAGGCGCUGUGUUCCCAGGGAUGGCCGGGCGCGGCUUGAGGGGGCAGCAGGAGGAGCUGCAGCUGAUCUACAGAGCCCUUGAAGACACGGCAGAUGACACCAGCCUUGCUGUCGGAAGCCUGGCAAUUCAAACUUCGUACGUUCUCAGGGCUGUAGAGCGGCCUCCAGUCUCCAUGUUCCAGAGGCUGCGAGAUCAGCUGCGCCAGGCAUGGAAGACACGGCCUCGUCUGUCGGGCCUCGGCUGGCUGCGCUGCUGGAGCUCUGCAGAGAGCUGAUCUGGGAGGCUCUGUCUCCUGGGGCCACCUGAGCCAGCAGGGAUUUUCUCUUUUCCAUGAUUGUUCUUUUCAUCUUUGUGUUUUACUUUAGUGUAGAAAUAUAGGAUGUGUUGGAAUAGACCGACUCCCAGGUGCUUUCUUUUGCUGCCCAGGGUCUGCAGGGCAUCAGGGAAGAGGGGGAAAAGGGUGCUUGUGCUCAGCAAGCUGCCCAGGAGUGCAGUGGGGAAGGGAAGACGGCCAGAAGCCCCUUGGCGUUUGGUGGUUCUGCUGAAGCCUUUGUGCUGGUGACAGAGCAGGUGGUGUGAGAGUCCGUCUAGAGCUUGUAUCGACCAACGACCAUCUGAAGAAGAUCCCUGAACUACGGUUUUCGGACUUUGGCUUAGCCUAGGUGGGGUGCGACUUGCAGGUGACCAGGAUGUGUUCUCAUGGCAACCGAUCGUGAGAUUGGAACUGUGUUCACUCGAGGAUGGAAACAAUAGGACCCCAAGCAUGGGUCUUGCUCAUCUUGCCUUUUCAUGUUUAUACCUGCCUAACAAUAGUCCACAAGCCUUCCCACCUUUUGGCUAAAGGCCACUCGCUUUGGAAAGAACUAUAAAAGCAACCCCAGACUGAAGACCCAUCGAGAUCUCCCUGGACGACAACGGACAUCUAUUGGCUGGUUCCACGAGGAUCGUCUGCCCGUCUUGGUAGCUAUAAUCCCAACCCCCUGGGGGGGGGGGGGGGGGGGGGGGGGGGGCUUCCGAUCUGACAUCUAUUGGCUGGUUCCACGAGGAUCGUCUGCCCAGCUUGGUAGCUACAAUCCCAACCCCUUUUCUCUCUCUUCCUCUCUCUCUCUCUCUCUCUCUUUGUCCCACUAGCAUUUGGUUGGCGCUAAAUAAAGUGCAUUUUUUUUGUAAGAGCAACUAAUUUUGUCCCUUUGUGUGUCUUUUGCACCCUGAGAUUCUUAAAAGAACCUUCACGACCCCCGCUCUAACUGGGCGGACCGUGACAUUAAUUGGCGUAGUCGGCUGUCGAUUCCCGAUACUGGAGGAGUUGAGGUACUCUGUGCACUUUGUAACAGGGGAAGAUCUG